AUGUCAAAACUACCCUUAUCUUCUACCUGAUUCCCUGUCAAUUCUACUGUUUGGCACUAUUCACCUUCCUCCUUUGUUUGAAACGAACAGAGGCGGCGGCUACCCCCUUCAACUCGUGAGAAUGCUAACGUGCAUGAGCUACUAAAUUCACCUGAUAAUCCACAAUCAGGACCACCUCUAUCUCUCUGGUCAAAGGCGAUCACGGAUGUGGGAGAAACAAUCUUGUCAAAACCUAGGGUUAGUUCUUUGGAGUUCUUGCUAGAAGGAUCUGGCACAAUGAGUGGUAGGAGGAACCACAGUAGCGGUCGGGAUCCAUUUGAUGUCAAUCGGCACUGCUCGAGGGAGGUCGCAAGUGACAGGAGGACCAUGGUACUCCAUAGCAAACGAAUAUUCGACCUCAUCUUGACUGUGGGGGAUCGGAGCCCUAACAGGCAACAUGCUAGUAAUGUGGAGUGGUCCUUAACAGCACUACUUUCCUCAACAACCAUUUUCUUGGUGGCUUCACCUUCACUGGUUGCAAAUUCCUGAUGUGCCUAUUUGAUGAAUGAAAUUUCAACCGAGGAUGUCAAAAGGUAAACGGUUUGGGGGCUAAAUGAAGUAAUGAACCUACAAAUCUGACUGGUUGAUAAGUCAAUCGGUAGAUUCAACAAUGGAAUGGAUUGAAAACAUCGACUUCGACAAUCAGAAUCACUUAAUUGGGAUUUGGGAAAAUGGUCCUAUGUUUUACAGAUAGCACAGCUAACAUGUACUUGGGAACUGAAUACGUUGGCAAUUCAGAAUUUCAGAGGGUCUUUUAUGUCA